UUAACUAUUUUCUGUUAGAAAGAAUAGAAUUAUAAAGGGGGAUUGGCCACUUAAGUAUUUCUAAGGGGAAAGAAUCCAUUGAGAGAGGUAAGAAAAAUCGGAAGUAAAGGGGAGUACUUGUGUAGACCAAUAAUAAAAUGUGCACAUACUGUGGUAGGCAGCACGAAAACACUUGGGAUCUCAAUGUUGUAGUAGAUGGUGUACAGGGAGGUCUGCUUCUUUGUUUAAAGGGAGAUGUGAUUAAGAAACUAUUUGGUAGUGUUAGGCAUUUUUAUUUUUUUAAAAGAUUUAUUUUAGAGAGUACGUGCACGAGUGGGGGGAGGAGCUGAGGGAGAGAAUCUUUAAGCAGUCCCCCUUCUGAGCCUGAGUGGGGUGCCUGUCUUGGGGGCUCCAUCCACUCACCUAUGAGAUCAUGACAUAAGCCAAAACCAAAGAGUCGGGCGCUUAACCAACUGAGCCACCCAGGUACCCCAAUGUUAGACAUUUUAAAAGGAAAAUCUACGUGGGAAAGGUUAUGAACAUCAACCAUAAAAUAACACUAGAACUGCUGCUUGGCACCCCUGAUACUCACAAGAGGAGUCAGGCGGUCAUGGGAUUCAUAAGCUGAAAUAGAUGUGGGCACUCAGUGAGGGAUGGAUUAAAUGCACGUUUGAGACUUAAUUCCAGAUGUGGAGAAAUGAUUGCACACUUGUCAUUACCUAGUGUUUGAGUUUUUCCAAGUGCUUUCAUAUGUAUGAUCUCACCUGAUUUUUGGAACUAGGACAGAUGGUGGCCAACUGAGGGGACAGAGGACUGAGAGGAGCCUUUAGGGAAUGGAUGAAGGUGAACUGGGUGUGGAUUUUUAGGGGUGAGGCCAGAGAGGGCAGAUAAGAGGCUCAGGGGUAGCCGUCUCUCCUUCACUGGCCUUCCACUUUGUGAACUCUUUUCACUCCUGGCUUGUUCCCUGGGAGUCUGAUUUGGGAGUUCAAAGCCUUGUAGCUUGGGAGGCCCAGUGGCAGCUGGGCAAGCCCCAGAGCCAGCCUUAGUGUUUACCUCAGUGUCCAGGAGAGAGAAUGAGGCCUCAAAAAUCUCUCAUAAAAAUAACAAAACCCCCUAAAACUUAGAAAGCUGAACAUUCUAGAUGUUCUCAAUAUGUAGCAGACCUACCCAGAUCUGAACAGGCUACAGCAAUUAAAAACAGUACAGGCAGAAUAUGCUAUGGAUGACCUACUGGCACACUUCUCUCUGGUUCCUGAGUAGGGGAGGCUCGGGGGGGCACCGGGUACAACGGAGCAGACUUUUAUACACCAAGCUCAGAUCUUUCCUUCCUUUUACCAACUAUUGGAUUCACAAGAGUGUAGGGGAGGUGACUCCUGCUGCCCCAGGCCCCUCUAGCCAGCUCGGAAGGGCUGGAAAUCCACCCUGUGGUUUUGACUCAGAUUUAGGGCCUGCAGAUUCCGAUUAAGUUGCCACUCUCCCCUGUAGGCCCCAGAAUGUCUGGUAUUUCUACAUCUAAUCUUAAAGCCUGCUUAGGAUAACAGUCCCCUUGGGAAUCUCUGACUCAAGACCAACGGAGGGACUGUGGGUUCAUGGGUGAUGCUUGCACUUUCAGGAAGCUCCAGGGAUUUUUGGUUGGAUUUGGAUACAAUUAGCUUUGAAAAAUGAAGGCAAAAAGUAAGGUGGCAAACUAAAGAGAUAAAAAGACUCCGUUUGCUGCCUGUGGAUCUGCUUUCAAAGAAUGAAAAUAACAUAUGGUCACUCAAAUCCACAGGAUGGAAGGAAGACUACUGGAAAUGUACCCCCUUGAGUGAUUUGUGCAUUUGAGUGCCGUCAUCGUAAGAUUUCCCAGCACAGCUGACUGCUGAUUUGGCUGAAAGUAUAAUUUAGGCUCAAGUUCAUAGUUGAUUGGAAUUUUAAAGACUUUGAGAUUUUAUCAUUGUUCUUGGAGUUCUGAAAUUUUG